UACGUAGGGGGCAAGCGUUGUCCGGAAUCAUUGGGCGUAAAGCGCGUGUAGGCGGCCCGAUAAGUCCGCUGUGAAAGUCCAGGGCUCAACCCUGGGAUGCCGGUGGAUACUGUCGGGCUCGAGUCCGGAAGAGGCGAGUGGAAUUCCUGGUGUAGCGGUGAAAUGCGCAGAUAUCAGGAAGAACACCCGUGGCGAAGGCGGCUCUCUGGUACGUGACUGACGCUGAGACGCGAAAGCGUGGGGAGCGAACAGG
rnacentral:rRNA from 1 species